ACGAGCCGUAUGAAUCGAGAGGCUCACGUACGGAAUCUGUGAGAGGCUCGGGGUGAAAUUCCUUGGGCCUACUCGGC
rnacentral:misc_RNA from 1 species